rnacentral:rRNA from 1 species
UUUAACUGAGCGUUCAGUUACUUGACGUAGACCCGAAACCGGGCGACCUACCCAUGAGCAGGAUGAAGCGAAAGUAAAAUUUCGUGGAGGUCCGAACCCACGAGCGUUGAAAAGCUCGGGGAUGACUUGUGGGUAGCGGUGAAAUUCCAAUCGAGCCCGGAGAUAGCUGGUUCUCCCCGAAAUAGCUUUAGGGCUAGCCUCAAGGUGAGAGAUACGGAGGUAGAGCACUGAAUGUCCUAGGGGGUAUUGCACCUACCGAAGACUAUCAAACUCCGAAUGCCGUCAUCUUAUACUUGGGAGUCAGACUGUGGGUGAUAAGAUUCAUAGUCGAAAGGGCAACAGCCCAGAUCGUCAGCUAAGGUCCCUAAAUGUAAGUUAAGUGGUAAAGGAUGUGGGAUUGCACAGACAACCAGGAUGUUGGCUUAGAAGCAGCCACUCAUUCAAAGAGUGCGUAAUAGCUCACUGGUCGAGUGAUCCUGCGCCGAAGAUUUCCGGGGCUAAAACUUACUACCGAAGCUACGGCAUCAGUAAUGAUGGGUAGGGGAGCUUCCCAUACGGGUUGAAGCAUGACCGUAAGGACAUGUGGACAGUAUGGGAGUGAGAAUGUUGGCAUGAGUAGCGAGAUGUGGGUGAGAAUCCCACAGGCCGUAAACCCAAGGUUUCCAGGGGAAGGUUCGUCCGCCCUGGGUUAGUCGGGACCUAAGCUGAGGCCGAAAGGCGUAGGUGAUGG